rnacentral:lncRNA from 1 species
AUGACUGAAAUGCCCCAUUGCAAUUUAUCUGGAAUCUGUUUUGCCUCAUCUACUGAAGCCAAGCAAUGGAGAUUCAAGACAGGUAAAAGAAACACACAACACGUAUUUCUGGAAAUUUGCCAUCAGACAUGUAGUGGUAGCGCCCAGUUUGGACAUCUUUAAAGGG